CAUCAUCUGACAGAAGAAACUCUGCUUCCAGAAUCUCACAAUUACUGUAUGUACUGAUCCCAGAUGUUGUUUUCAUCAGUUGUGGUUCAUUCCUGAACACAUGCCAUGUGACAUCAGAUACAACAACCGGGCGUAGGUUGUUUCAAACCCUGUGAACCAUCUAUCAGCCAUGCCUUGAGCUGAAAACCCCCGAGGAUGGGGUGAUAGAUUUGACUGGCAUCCUGAGAGAAGGGGAUAGUCUGCAGAGUGAUUGGUUAACAAACAAUGAGCUGAGUGAGGUAAGAAAACCAUGUUUGUAUUGGCCACAUCAGAACUACAAGAAUAAUUUGGUCUUUAUCUUUCUUUAUCUUGAACAGCACCUUGGAUAUCAAGGGAGUCGGGGGAAAUGCAUACAGAAGGCCUGGACUCCAACAAAGGAGAAAGGCAUCUCCCAGGGAGUGGUGACUCAAACUGCAUCUCGAGUAGAACUGGGAGAAUUUCUGAGGGCAUACACUGUGAUGUUUUGUAUGCCUAGAAGUUCCAAUCAAAGAAGUAGGUUUACAGCCCUCUGAGUGGCCAUCAAAACUGUGUUGAAAGAACACCCUGUGAGCGGGCAAUUGUCAAGGUAUGGGAAAAUCGGAGUUCCUUGUCUGAAAAUGAGCCACUACCCCGGAAAGUACUUUUGAGAACAGCCAAGACCCUGAACAGGAAUACCAUGUACUGAAAGUGCUCUUGACCUAGAGUGAAGCAUAGGAACCUUCUGUGGGCAGAGUGGAUCACUAUAUGGAAUAACUGUCUUGGCUGAGGGCCUAGAACCAAUCCCCAUUGGUCCAAUGAUGGAAUUAUUGCUGCAAGAGUUACCGUUUUGAACCUCUGAAUCUUUACAAAUCUGUUGAGUAAUCUUAGAUCUAAAGUAGGUCUCCAACUGCCUUUCUUUUCCGGAACCAGAAAAUACCUGGAAUAAAAUCCCUUCCCUCUGUGUUGUGUGGGAACUGGUUCUAUAGCACCCAGACUCUAUAGCACCCAGUCAAUUUCCUGUCACAAAAGGUGUUCGUGAGAGGGUUCCCCGAAGAGGGAUAGGGAGGGAGAUGGGAUGGGGAGAAGGGAGGUAAAGUGAAUGGAGUAUCUUGUUGCAAUGAUCUCCAACACCUACUUGUCUAUAGUGAUAUGUUCCCAACUUUGACGGAAAUGAGAAAAGCAGGCACUGAAAACAGGGAGACAUGCAGAUUGUUGCAGCAGAUAAAAUUGGAGAUGGUAACUCAGCACCUCAACUGGCCCAUCAAUAUUGGCAUUUCAAAGUUGUGGGAUGUGAGGUCGACGCGCUGUCCCUUACACUGGUGUUCAUAAUGUCUUUGGGAGGCAGUAAACUGGGUGGGAUGAGAUCUCUGGGCCAUCUGAUACUUACAGAACUUUCUUUUUUGUGCAGGGAUGUAAAUUCCCAGAGAGCGUAAGAUGGCUGUAGAGUCUUUUAAAGUAUGAAGAGAUUCAUCUAUUUUUUCUGCAAACCACUUCAAUCCAUCAAAAGGAAGGUCCUCAGCUGGAUUUCGGACUUCCCUCAGAAAACCCGAGAGCUAAAGCCAGAAAACUCUCUUCAUGACUAGCACUGGAGAGAGAAUGAGCGGCUUUAUCAGUGGCAUUCAGAGAGGGCUGCAGAGAUGUUUUUGUGUGCCAUUGGCUCUCUGCAAUGAUCUCCUGGAAUUGCUCGCUCUGUUCUGUCGGAACAUGUUCAAUAAAGGCAUUCAACUUUGAA